GGUAAGUGUGAACGCAUUCGGCUCACUUGCGUACCAGCAAAUGCCUUCAAACGGGUUGGGAAUCGAGGCUGAAACACUAAUCAGGAGUUUGAGCUUGUCAAAAGCAACACCCGGAUCACAAGUGGAGAUGGCCAGGUAUGCAGAAAAGCCAGUGAGAUCUUCUAGCCCGAAGAUUCACUCACAGCGCAUUCAGCAACCGCGCUGAGCUGAAUGUGAUUAGUUUCUCGGGCCUUGCUUAGCUAUGGGUUCUGUAUGUAUUUACAAAAAGUGAAAGAGAAAACUGUAGUAACUUUGUUUGUAUGUUGUAAGUUUAUGUAUAGAGCAAGGUCUUAACUUUC